UGGUAGCUCAGCUGGAUAGAGCAACAGCCUUCUAAGCUGUGGGUCGCGGGUUCGAAUCCCGCCCG
rnacentral:tRNA from 1 species